UAUGUUAGAGGUGAUUAAAACAAUGGACAAUUUUUUUUUUUUUUUGAGACCAAGUUUCGCUCUUGUUGUCCAGGCUGAAGUGCAGUGGCAUGAUCUCAGCUCACUGCAACCUCUGCCUCCCGGGUUCAAGCAAUUCUCCAGCCUCA
rnacentral:sRNA from 1 species